rnacentral:misc_RNA from 1 species
GAUGAAGAACGCAGCGAAAUGCGAUAAGUAAUGUGAAUUGCAGAAUUCAGUGAAUCAUCGAAUCUUUGAACGCACAUUGCGCCCCUUGGUAUUCCGAGGGGCAUGCCUGUUCGAGCGUCAUUAUAACCCCUCAAGCUCAGCUUGGUGUUGGGGCCUGCUGCACUGGCAGCCCUUAAAAUCAGUGGCGGCGCCAUCUGGCUCUAAGCGUAGUAAUUCUUCUCGCUAUGGAGUCCUGGUGGAUGCUUGCCAUCAACCCCCAAUUUUUCUAUGGUUGACCUCGGAUCAGGUAGGGAUACCCGCUGAACUUAAGCAUAUCAAUAAGCGGGGGA